GGGCCCCCAGCAGCCUGAGCCCAGGAAGGCAGCAGAGGGGAAGAGAGAGUCCCCACCCAGACCAGGAGAUGCCAGAGGCCAGAAACCCGAGUCACUCACCCCGGUGGAGGACCUCCCUGAAUGAGUGGAGGUGCAUCCUGCUCCAUGGCACUUCUCAGCUGGGGAAGGCUGGGCGACUUGGCUGAAAGUGGACACGGGCCGUUUCUGUCAUGGUCGCCAGGCCAUUUCCCUCCUUCUACUCUCCCCAGAGGUGGACAGGACAGCCUGGCUCAGCCAACCACAGUCAGCAAGCCGUCAAGUCACUUGCCUGUGAAUUGUAUACAUCUUUGAGAGAUUGAGGACUUAAAGCAAACUGUGUUGCAUCUAAUGCAAGCAGGACCAGAUCUUCCCAUAAGCCCACUUGGGUCCUCCUCUCCCUGGCUGUCCUUCAGAUUGUCACAACCUUGAUUUAACAAAGCUGCUCCUUGUCCUUGGUUGGAGGAAUGAGUUACAUGUUGGGCAAACA